rnacentral:rRNA from 1 species
UCCUUAGAUGUUCUGGGCCGCACGCGCGCUACACUGAUGCAUUCAACGAGUCUAAAACCUGCUCUGAUAGGGGUGGGUAAUCUUUUGAAUGUGCAUCGUGAUUGGGAUAGAUGAUUGCAAUUUUUCAUCUUCAACGAGGAAUGCCUAGUAAACGCAAGUCAUCAGCUUGCAUUGAUUACGUCCCUGCCCUUUGUACACACCGCCCGUCGCUCCUACCGAUUGAAUGAUCCGAUGAAUAUCAUGGAUUGAGGAUGCAAGCAGGUUCGCCUGUCUUCAUCUUCGAGAAGUGAAGUAAAUCUUAUCAUUUAGGGGAAGGAGAAGUCGUAACA